AGCGAACGCUGGCGGCAGGCUUAACACAUGCAAGUCGAACGCACCUUCGGGUGAGUGGCAGACGGGUGAGUAACACGUGGGAACGUACCUCUUUGUACGGAAUAGCUUUUGGAAACGAAAGGUAAUACCGUAUACGCCCUUUUGGGGAAAGAUUUAUCGCAGAGAGAUCGGCCCGCGUCUGAUUAGCUAGUUGGUGAGGUAAUGGCUCACCAAGGCGACGAUCAGUAGCUGGUCUGAGAGGAUGAUCAGCCACACUGGGACUGAUACACGGCCCAGACUCCUACGGGAGGCAGCAGUGGGGAAUAUUGGACAAUGGGCGCAAGCCUGAUCCAGCCAUGCCGCGUGAGUGAUGAAGGCCUUAGGGUUGUAAAGCUCUUUUGUCCGGGAAGAUAAUGACUGUACCGGAAGAAUAAGCCCCGGCUAACUUCGUGCCAGCCGCCGCAGUAACAC
rnacentral:rRNA from 1 species